rnacentral:lncRNA from 1 species
GACUCUCAGACAGCAUAGUACCAGCAAAAUUAGCAGAACACAUGGGAGCAGGAGAUUGAUCAGUAGAAUCCCUUGAGAGAGUCUGUUGAAUCAAAUUCACAACCUGAUCACAUUGCUGUCUGCUCAACCCUGGUAUCUCAGGUUGACUGGCAAUAGGAUCCCCAAGAGGAACAGACAAAUUUGAAUUCCCAUUAUCAUCAG